AAAAGUGAAUUAUAAUUCAUAAUAUCAUAAUAAAUUUUAUUCUUAUUAAUAUUAAUAUUAAAAUAAUAAUUAUAAGAACGGGACAAUAGAUAUAAAAUUGGGGUAAUUCUAUUUGUAGCCCCCAUUUUACUCUUUAUAGCCUCUAAUUUAAAAUAAUAAUUUAAAAUAAUUACAAUUUUACUAAUUUAGCCUUUUACUUCAUAGCCCCAAAUUGGCGAAGAAAAAGAAAACAUCCUUUUUGAGAGUGAAGGUGAAAAUGAGGCUUCUUUUCAACCGGCGACGCCAAUUCGGUCUCGACGGAAGGGUGGUGGUUCCAAUCCCUGCGCUCCGAUAUCAUCAAAUGGAUUCUUCAAAAAAGGGCUGAAUUUGGAUACCACUACCGCACUGUAUAUCUGUCAGUUGUGUGUAUUUCGACCUUAAGCAGAGUGAAGCUUUCAGAAGGGAAGCUGAUGAAGCUUCAGAUUCUGUCGAUUGCAACAUGGCGCCGCCUAGGGUUUCACGCCGCCUGCAAUCCCGCCGACGUCGACCUCUGCCCACCGCGACGUCGACAGCCGCCGCCCCAGCACGAGAGCUAACGCCGCACGGAAACGCCGGAGAACUCAGAUCGCGCUCUGAAAUCGCGUCUGCCACCGAGCCUCCUCACCUUCCGCACUCCCGUCGCCUCUCCUUCGGCUCCACCGACUCACACCGCCUCCGCCCUGGGGAAAUCGCCGCCGGUCGACUCGAAACGAGAAGGAGGUGCAAUGAAAAACACUGCCCAUCUCCCCGUUAGAUCGCGUCUCCUACCGGGAGCUCCGCCAUCCGCCUUCACACCGUUCUUCCACACGAUGAACGGCCGUCGAGCAGACAGCAAUCGCCGGAGGAACCGCCGCCCUCGACGCCAACGUGUGGAGCUUCAAUGCUCGACAGAUCCGGUGUCCAGCAAGCGCGAUUCCAGUGCUAGGCGGAGGCCCUGUGCGCACCAGGAGCGGCGCCCCUCGCCGGCCUCCUUCGGUAGCUUCUUCCCGGCCCUGGGCUUCUUCUCCGCCGGAGAUUUCUCGGCGGCGGGUCUCUUCUAGGCGAGCUUCUCUCAUUUGGCUGCUGCCAUUGUUGUGCUUGCGUAGAGAGAGUAUAAUUCUAAUUAUUUGGGGCUAUGGAGAAGAGGAUAAAUUAGUA
rnacentral:lncRNA from 1 species